rnacentral:rRNA from 1 species
CACGUAGGGCGCAAGCGUUGUCCGGAAUUACUGGGCGUAAAGCGUGCGCAGGCGGUUCGCUAAGACAGAUGUGAAAUCCCCGGGCUUAACCUGGGAACUGCAUUUGUGACUGGCGGGCUAGAGUAUGGCAGAGGGGGGUAGAAUUCCACGUGUAGCAGUGAAAUGCGUAGAGAUGUGGAGGAAUACCGAUGGCGAAGGCAGCCCCCUGGGCCAAUACUGACGCUCAUGCACGAAAGCGUGGGGAGCAAACAGG